GAGUCCUGACGGAGCACGCCGCGUGAGUGAUGAAGGUUUUCGGAUCGUAAAGCUCUGUUGUUAGGGAAGAACAAGUGCAAGAGUAACUGCUUGCACCUUGACGGUACCUAACCAGAAAGCCACGGCUAACUACGUGCCAGCAGCCGCGGUAAUACGUAGGUGGCAAGCGUUGUCCGGAAUUAUUGGGCGUAAAGGGCUCGCAGGCGGUUUCUUAAGUCUGAUGUGAAAGCCCCCGGCUCAACCGGGGAGGGUCAUUGGAAACUGGGAAACUUGAGUGCAGAAGAGGAGAGUGGAAUUCCACGUGUAGCGGUGAAAUGCGUAGAGAUGUGGAGGAACACCAGUGGCGAAGGCGACUCUCUGGUCUGUAACUGACGCUGAGGAGCGAAAGCGUGGGGAGCGAACAGGAUUAGAUACCCUGGUAGUCCACGCCGUAAACGAUGAGUGCUAAGUGUUAGGGGGUUUCCGCCCCUUAGUGCUGCAGCUAACGCAUUAAGCACUCCGCCUGGGGAGUACGGUCGCAAGACUGAAACUCAAAGGAAUUGACGGGGGCCCGCACAAGCGGUGGAGCAUGUGGUUUAAUUCGAAGCAACGCGAAGAACCUUACCAGGUCUUGACAUCCUCUGACAACCCUAGAGAUAGGGCUUUCCCUUCGGGGACAGAGUGACAGGUGGUGCAUGGUUGUCGUCAGCUCGUGUCGUGAGAUGUUGGGUUAAGUCCCGCAACGAGCGCAACCCUUGAUCUUAGUUGCCAGCAUUUAGUUGGGCACUCUAAGGUGACUGCCGGUGACAAACCGGAGGAAGGUGGGGAUGACGUCAAAUCAUCAUGCCCCUUAUGACCUGGGCUACACACGUGCUACAAUGGACAGAACAAAGGGCUGCGAGACCGCAAGGUUUAGCCAAUCCCACAAAUCUGUUCUCAGUUCGGAUCGCAGUCUGCAACUCGACUGCGUGAAGCUGGAAUCGCUAGUAAUCGCGGAUCAGCAUGCCGCGUGAAUACGUUCCCGGGCCUUGUACACACGUCCGUCACACCACGAGAGUUGCAACACCCGAAGUCGUGAGUAACUUUAUGGAGCCAGCCGCCGAAGGUGG
rnacentral:rRNA from 1 species